rnacentral:rRNA from 1 species
AGUGAACGCUGGCGGUAGGCCUAACACAUGCAAGUCGAACGGCAGCACAGUAAGAGCUUGCUCUUACGGGUGGCGAGUGGCGGACGGGUGAGGAAUACAUCGGAAUCUACUUUUUCGUGGGGGAUAACGUAGGGAAACUUACGCUAAUACCGCAUACGACCUACGGGUGAAAGCAGGGGAUCUUCGGACCUUGCGCGAUUGAAUGAGCCGAUGUCGGAUUAGCUAGUUGGCGGGGUAAAGGCCCACCAAGGCGACGAUCCGUAGCUGGUCUGAGAGGAUGAUCAGCCACACUGGAACUGAGACACGGUCCAGACUCCUACGGGAGGCAGCAGUGGGGAAUAUUGGACAAUGGGCGUAAGCCUGAUCCAGCCAUACCGCGUGGGUGAAGAAGGCCUUCGGGUUGUAAAGCCCUUUUGUUGGGAAAGAAAAGCAGCAGGUUAAUACCCCGCUGUUCUGACGGUACCCAAAGAAUAAGCACCGGCUAACUUUGUG